rnacentral:rRNA from 1 species
GGCUUAUUGAUAAUAAUUUUAGGUCAGACCUGCCCAAUGAUAAGAUUAAAUGGCUGCGGUAAUUUGACCGUGCAAAGGUAGCAUAAUCAUUAGUUUUUUAAUUGAAAGCUUGUAUGAAAGGUUAAAUGAAAAAAAAGCUGUCUCUGUUUAAAUUAUUUAAAAUUUUAUUUUUAAGUAAAAAAGCUUAAAUUUAUAUAGAAGACGAGAAGACCCUAUAGAGUUUUAUAAAUUGUAAAUAAAGUUUAAUUUUAGUAUUUUAGUAUAUUUUUUUAUAUUUAUUUAAUUGGGGUGAUUGAAAAAUUUAGUAAACUUUUUUUAUAUAGAAACAUUAAUUUAUGAAUAUAGGAUCCUUUAUUUAAGAUAAAAAGAUAAAAUUACCUUAGGGAUAACAGCGUAAUUUUUUUUUAGAGUUCUAAUUUAAAAAAAAGAUUGCGACCUCGAUGUUGGAUUAAAAGAAAUUAUUGGUGUAGAAGCUAAUAAAUUAGGUCUGUUCGACCUUUAAAAUUUUACAUGAUCUGAGUUUAAACCGGUGUGAG